GCGGGAGUGGCGGAACUGGUAGACGCACCAGACUUAGGAUCUGGCGCCGCAAGGCAUCCGAGUUCGAGUCUCGGCUCUCGCA
rnacentral:tRNA from 1 species